AACGCACAUUGCGCCCAUUAGUAUUCUAGUGGGCAUGCCUGUUCGAGCGUCAUUUCAACCUUUAAGCCCUGUUGCUUAGUGUUGGGAAUUUACGCCUGUAAUUCCCCAAAGUUAGUGGCGGAGUCGGGUCGCACUCUGAGCGUAGUAAUAUCUCCUCGCUUCUGUAGGUGGCCCGCCCCCAGCCGUAAAACCCCUAAUUUUUCUAUGGUUGACCUCGGAUCAGGUAGGAAUACCCGCUGAACUUAA
rnacentral:misc_RNA from 1 species